ACUCAAAGGAAUAGACGGGGACUCGCACAAGCAGUGGAUGAUGUUGUUCAAUUGGACGAUACGCCAAAAACCUUACCAAGGCUUGACAUGAAGUGGACCACUUUGGAAACAAAGUUUUCUCUCCGGAGACCGCUUACACAGGUGGUGCAUGGUUGUCGUCAGCUCGUGUCGUGAGAUGUUGGGUUAAGUCCCGCAACGAGCGCAACCCCUGCCUUUAGUUGCUACGAAAGAGCACUCUAAAGGGACCGCUUAUCUGACAAAGAUGGAGGAAGGUGGGGAUGACGCCAAAUCAUCAUGCCCCUUAUGCCUUGGGCUACAAACGUCAUACAAUGGCACUUAACAAAAAGAAGCAAUACAGCGAUGUGGAGCAAAUCUCCAAAAAGUGUCUCAGUUCGGAUCGUAGGCUGCAACUCGCCUGCGUGAAGUCGGAAUUGCUAGUAAUCGUGGAUCAGCAUGCCACGGUGAAUACGUUCCCGAGUCUUGUACACACCGCCCGU
rnacentral:rRNA from 1 species